UACAUCAAAUCUCAGAUAAUUCUAACUUGCGUUCUCUCUCAUUCGCAUGUAUUCUACGUGCGAGCGAGAGAGAACGCAAGUGAGAAUUAUCUCAGUUUUGAUGUAAAUGGAAAGCAACUUUUACGUUCUAUUUGCAGAUGGAUGACCGAAAAGAAAGGAAGUUAGAGGAAUCGAUUCUCUCGCCGCCAUUGUCACCCACCGCCUCGCCGCCAUCGUCACGCACCGUCUCGCCGCCAUCCUCGUCCCCCUCUAGCGCGUUCCGCUGCUUUGUAAUCGAGCAGUGGGAUAGCAGGUUUGAUAUCGACGCGAUGCGGCGUCCAGAGGAUGCGGUAAGGGGGCCACUUCCCGGCCAGGAGCACGAGGAUGGCGGCGAGGGGACGGGUGACGACCGCGACCACAACGAAGCACCGAAGCCGAAGGCAAGCACAUUGACGCUGACGCCGUUCGAGGGGACGACGGGUGACAAGGACAAAGAAGGACACAAGGAGGAAAAGGAGGAGGAGGAGGAGGAGGAGGAGGAGGACCGCGAGAUGGCGGCCUCAAAAACCUGAGCGACUCGCAGCGGCGGUAUAAAAAGCGGCAAAGAUUUUCUUUUUUUUUCUUUUGUAUAUUUUCUAACAAUAAGUUUUACUACAACGCUGGUGGCGGAGAGACCAGACAACAUCGAUUACAUCCUUCUCUGAAACUAACUAAGAGAUAUUACCCACAUGUGCGUAACAGACUUUAAUAAAUAGAGGUGUCGUCGUGGUAACGUUAAGUUAUUGCUCACUGGCCUACAAUUUGGAACUGCUGCUGGUGUCACGAGCUGGUCCCAGACAACAUCGAUUACAUCCUUCUCUGAAACUAACCAAGAGAUAUUACCCACCUGUGCGUAACAUGUAUGGUUUCUUUGUAGUAAAAACUUAUUCAAUAUUAUUCCAAAGAUACACGAGACUGAUUCACAUUUUAAUCAAUUUACACAAUUUUGUUUAGAAUCAGAUUCAAAUAUUGUUAUAAUUAUUACACGAUAUGUAUUACUUUGCCACAUUUCAAUAUACUGCCUCUGCAAUAUUUUAUAAUUCAGAUAUAAAAUAUAUAUUAUUUUUGUUAAAUUAUUAGCGAAAUAAGAUAGAAACCUAUUCUAUUAUACUCUAUAAUAUUAUUAUUGUUACACGUGAUAUAUUAUAUUAGUUUGCUACAUCAAUAUACUGCCUGUGCAAUAUUUUAUAACUAA